UACUCAACGCCUGAACUGGAAUUGUUAGUAAUAUAUUUGAAGUGGAAAUGAAACUACUUGUACUUCCCCAUUACGUUUCCACUUUGCUCAUUUCUUUCACGUCAGUCAUAUAUGUAAUAUAUGCCAUAAAAUGAAAUGAAGCUCUAAGUGUAACAUUACAGAAACUUAAAAGACCUAUUACAAUUUGGUCAGCAAGGAGCUGAACAUCAAUACUGGGUGAAUGUUAUCUGGUACCCUGUAACAAGUAUUAAUGUUGAGGAAAGAGAUGUCUUCAAACCUAGUCCUGAACAACUACAAUGUUUUACCCACUGCUGAUCAUCAUUCAAGAUCUCAGACUUGUUCUUAACAUCCUUUCACAUCCUUGUAUAACAAAACAGCAAAAGAAAUAUCAAACAAGCAGUGCACAUAAGCUUUCUCUAAAACAGGUUAGCAAAUUGCAAAUAGAUACAAAUACACACAAAAACACACAAAUUGUUAAUUACUGUUGCUGUGUAUACCCAUAUCAAUGUCAAAAUGGCUUUUUUUGUUUAGCAAACUCCCAGUAACUUCCCAAGAAAAAUGUAUUUCACAUUCUUUUUAAAAAAGGAAACAAAAA